CCCUUAGAUGUUCUGGGCCGCACGCGCGCUACACUGAUGCGUUCAACGAGUUUCUUCCUGGUCCGAGAGGAAUGGGUAACCUUUUGAAAGUGCAUCGUGAUAGGGAUAGACUAUUGCAAUUAUUGGUCUUCAACGAGGAAUUCCUAGUAGACGUAGUUCAUCAGACUGCAUCGAUUACGUCCCUGCCCUUUGUACACACCGCCCGUCGCUCCUACCGAUUGAAUGCUCAGGUGAGCCAUUCGGACUUUCAUCAUGCUGGUUUCCAGUUUUGAUGAAGGAAAGUCUUGCGAACCUUAUCAUUUAGAGGAAGGAGAAGUCGUAACA
rnacentral:rRNA from 1 species